rnacentral:snRNA from 1 species
GGAUGUGAUAGCGCUCUGGCUAUGACAUCUGGCACACCAUUGAUGAAGAGGAUUGAUUUGACUGGUCUUGCUGGCUAGGUGGGUGCCCUCUUAUUUUCUUACUGCUCCAUGUGAUUCCUUCCUGAAGCUGCACACUUGGACGGAUCACAUCCCAGACAGAAGGAAUGCACCAUUCUUUGGUCAAAGGUAUAUGAUAGUUGUGAUACUUUGCUGGAACCCCCAAGCAAUCCAAAGACAGUCCUAAGUUAAGCAAAGCUAGGAUUACAAGUUUAUAUAUGUUUGUCAUGAAACCAGCUUGUGUAAACAAGUCUGG